GGGCUUGUGCUGAAAUUGGUAUACAGGCAUGCUUGAGGUGCAUGUGCCGCAAGGCGUGGAGGUUCGAGUCCUCUCAAGCCCA
rnacentral:tRNA from 7 species